CUGUGUGCGAGCCCUCUCUGGUACCAUUCAUUAUCAUAACAAGCAGUACAGACCCCAGAAGGGAGGCAUUUGUGUUGCCAACCAUACUUCCCCAAUUGAUGUUUUAAUCUUGACAACGGAUGGAUGUUAUGCUAUGGUUGGCCAGGUUCAUGGCGGCUUGAUGGGAAUUAUUCAGAGAGCUAUGGUCAAGGCUUGUCCUCAUGUCUGGUUUGAACGCUCAGAAAUGAAGGAUCGACACCUGGUUACUAAGAGGUAAGCAGUGAAAUUACUCAGCAUUCACUGGAGUAGCAUAAAAGCUGACCAGUCUCGGCCUUGCUACCAAAGAGGACCGAGCAGCACUGAGUCUCAAAACUAAAACAGAGCUCUGUUUGCUGUUGGAUUUUUCUGGCAAAUCACCUGUCUUAGCCAGAUUUUUAAAAAAUGUAAUUCUGUAGUCAUGGUGGGAUAUAUGAUGGGAUUAGAAGGCCAGUGUAUUUAUAUUGCUGUGACUUAGAUACAGUCCAGUCACUGAAUUUUCACAGAUAAAAAUUACCACCUUUAAAUUAGAUAUGAUCUCAGUUGAGUAUUAGCAGUUAAAAAAAAAUUAAAUAUGUAUACUUUACCUCAAUAAAAAAUAUAUAAAAAA
rnacentral:sRNA from 1 species